AAUGAAAGUGAAGGCCGCCGAUCCCCCCUCUCUGGCUUAGCUGGCGCCCCACUCGUGGGUCAACGCUGGCGGCCACUGCUGGGCUGGGUGAGGAACAGAACGGCCGAGGCGAGAUCCUAAUUUAAGAACAUGAAAAAAAAGCCUAAAUGGAAACCGGGCAUUGAAGGAACGUCCAUCCGUUGCGCUCGGAUCCCUCACGGGAGACGAGAACAGCACGGGGGCGGCCCGGGGGCGCAUCGCCGGCCCGUCUCGAUCGCUGCUCCUCUCGUAUCAACUCUGCCGACGCAACCGGGCUCUGGCCGUGCGUUUUUCUCGUGGUUACGGCUUCUCGGAGCUAGUGCCGCGAGGAGACCGCGGUCUACGAAGCACGGCUCUGCCAAGCGGGGGCGGGGGAGAAACCAGUCGGCGAGGCGGAGCAAGAGCGUACACGUUGGGACCCGAAAGAUGGUGAACUAUGCCCGGGCAGGACGAAGCCAGAGGAAACUCUGGUGGAGGUCCGCAGCGAUUCUGACGUGCAAAUCGAUCGUCGGACCUGGGUAUAGGGGCGAAAGACUAAUCGAACCGUCUAGUAGCUGGUUCCCUCCGAAGUUUCCCUCAGGAUAGCUGGCGCUCGGGAACCAGUCUCAUCCGGUAAAGCGAAUGAUUAGAGGCAUUGGGGCCGAAACGGCCUCAACCUAUUCUCAAACUUUCAAUGGGUGAGAUGUCCGGCUUGCUCGAACAAAACCGCAAACUUCUUUU
rnacentral:rRNA from 1 species